rnacentral:misc_RNA from 2 species
AACGCAUCUUGCGCUCCUUGGUAUUCCGAGGAGCAUGCCUGUUUGAGUGUCAUUCAAGUUUCUCAACCACAUUGAUUAUCAUUUUUUGAUGUGGCUUGGAUUGGUGGGGGAUGCGGGCUUUUUAAAAUGAAGUCAGCUCUCCUGAAAUGCAUUAGUAGUAUCUGAGCACUACUACACAGGUGUGAUAAUUUAUCUAUGCCUUGGUGUUGUAGCCUGCAUGAAAUCAGAUUGCGCUGCUUCUAAUCUUGUCGCUUUUUUAAUGAAUUUGACCUCAAAUCAGGUAGGACUACCCGCUGAACUUAA